GACGAACGCUGGCGGCGUGCUUAACACAUGCAAGUCGAACGCUGAAGCUUGGUGCUUGCACUGGGUGGAUGAGUGGCGAACGGGUGAGUAAUACGUGAGUAACCUGCCCUUGACUCUGGGAUAAGCCUGGGAAACUGGGUCUAAUACUGGAUACGACAUGUCACCGCAUGGUGGUGUGUUGAAAGGGUUUUACUGGUUUUGGAUGGGCUCACGGCCUAUCAGCUUGUUGGGCGGGUAAUGGCCCACCAAGGCGACGACGGGUAGCCGGCCUGAGAAGGUGACCGGCCACCCUGGGACUGAGACACGGCCCUGACUGCUACGGUACGCAGAAGGUGAGAAUAUUGCACAAUGGGCGGAGGCCUGAUGCAGCGACGCCGCGUGAGGGAUGACGGCAUUCGGGUUGUAAACCUAUUUCAGCACGGAAGAAGCGAAAGUGACGGUACGUGCAGAAGAAGCGCCGGCUAACUACGUG
rnacentral:rRNA from 1 species